CCGUCCACGGCCCUGGGCUGUGUGUGGUGGCGGUACCAUCACGGGGUUGAUGUGGGACUUAUCACAAGAACAGACAGGGAGGACCAGUGCCCGUGUGGACUCAGGUAGUUACUAUGUGUAGAAUGUAAAGAAGCAGAAUGUAUGUGGCUGACUAGUGUAGCUGGAUACGAGAUGGAGAUCAUCAUGGAGUCUUUUGUGACUCCAUGAUGUUAAUUCAGAGAGGUCAUUAAGGAGCUGGUAGGGGUUAGACAGUCGAUACAGAGACAGGUCAUUAAGGAGCAGGUAGGGGUUAGACAGUGAAUACAGAGACAGGUCAUUAAGGAGCAGGUAGGGGUUAGACAAUGAACACAGAGACAGGUCAUUAAGGAGCAGGUAGGGGUUAGACAGUGAACACAGAGACAGGUCAUUAAGGAGCAGGUAGGGGUUAGACAGUGAACACAGAGACAGGUCAUUAAGGAGCAGGUAGGGGUUAGACAGUGAACAC
ensembl:lncRNA